rnacentral:rRNA from 1 species
UACGUAGGUGGCAAGCGUUUGUCCGGAUUUACUGGGCGUAAAGAGCGCGCAGGCGGUCGAUCAAGUCGCGUGUGAAAGCCCCCGGCUCAACUGGGGAGGGUCACGCGAUACUGAUCGACUCGAAGGCAGGAGAGGGUAGUGGAAUUCCUAGUGUAGAGGUGAAAUUCGUAGAUAUUAGGAAGAACACCAGUGGCGAAGGCGGCUCACUGGUCCGGUACUGACGCUGAGGUGCGAAAGCGUGGGGAGCAAACAGG